rnacentral:lncRNA from 1 species
UUGAUAUAAUAUUAGAGAUCUUUCGGAUAUAAAUUCUUCUUCCUUUUGCUCAUUUCAUAAUUAUAUAUAUUAAUGAUAAGCAAGAAUAGAAGCACCUGCAAAUAUUCUUUAGGACUAUAAUAAGAAAUGGACUAGUACUAACAGAAAAGGUAAUAGAACCUUUCCAAAUUAAAAUCCAGCUAGAUUAUAUCAUCAUACUUCUAU